AGGUUGGUCAGACAAGGUUCUCGAAGAUAUCUUGGGAGGCGGGGGAUACAAACCUGACAAGAAUAAAGGUAGGAAUGUUGCUUUGUCUGGCAACACAUGGAUUCUCCUUAAAAUGCUAACCAUCCGGCCGCCAGGUAAACAUGUCACUCUCAGCCUCUGGCAAAUCAGGCUUCGACAUGUGCACUUGUCGUGUGCAGUGGGCUCUCAUUCCUGCGGGUGGGGGCUCAUUUGUGAGCCAUCCUGAGAUGCUACCCAUUUGCUCUGUUGCUCUUUAAGCCUGAGCUGGUGUCCCCACUACCUAGAUGCACCUCGUAAGCCAGUUUUCCAUGCAGUGUGAGGGUUCAAACUUAGCAUGGCACACAUUUUAAAGAAGCCCUUAGCAAAUCAGAUGUUUACAAAAUUCCUUUGGAUUCCAUUUCCCCUUCCCAGGUUCCCUCCUAUUGGAUCCCAGGAAGUGGAAACUCUCCUUGGGGUGUAUCGUGUGAG
rnacentral:lncRNA from 1 species